rnacentral:rRNA from 1 species
CCAAUAGCGUAUAUUAAAGUUGUUGCGGUUAAAAAGCUCGUAGUUGAAUUUCGGAAUUGAUGCAUCGGUCAUGCCUUAAGGGGCAUGAACUGGUGUAGCCAAUUUCUCAUCUUCUGGUGAAUUGUGAUGUUCUUAAUUGGGUGUCUCAAUGAACUGGAAUUUUUUACUUUGAAAAAAUUAGAGUGUUUAAAGCAGGCAGUGAUUUGCUUGAAUACAUUAGCAUGGAAUAAUGAAAUAGGACGGUGGUUCUGUUUUGUUGGUUUCUAGGAUAACGUAAUGAUUAAUAGGGACAGUUGGGGGCAUUAGUAUUCAAUUGUCAGAGGUGAAAUUCUUGGAUUUAUUGAAGACUAACUAUUGCGAAAGCAUUUGCCAAGGAUGUUUUCAUUAAUCAAGAACGAAAGUUAGGGGAUCAAAGACGAUUAAGUACGUUGUAGUCCUAACCAUAAACUAUGCCGACUAGGAAUCAGACGAUGUUAAUUUUUUAAUGACUUGUUUGGUACCUUACG